rnacentral:tRNA from 1 species
GCCCGCUUGGCUUAGUGGUACAGGUAAGCAUGCUGUCCUCAAUGACAAGAUCACUGGUUCGAUUCCAGUAGUGGGCA